rnacentral:rRNA from 1 species
CGAAAACUUCACACCGGGAGAAAUCCCGAUGAGGGGAUUCCAAGUGCUAGCACUAUGUGUUAGCUGUUCUUUUGUCUAAAAAACAGAAGAAGUAAGGGCCGGGUAAGACGGGUGCCAGCCGCCGCGGUAAUACCCGCGGCCCGAGUGGUGGUCGAUAUUAUUGAGCCUAAAACGUCCGUAGCCGGUCUUGUAAAUCCUUGGGUAAAUCGGCCAGCUUAACUGUCCGAAGUCCGGGGAGACUGCAAGACUUGGGAUCGGGAGAGGUCAGAGGUACUUCUGGGGUAGGGGUAAAAUCCUGUAAUCCUGGAAGGACCACCGGUGGCGAAGGCGUCUGACUAGAACGAAUUCGACGGUGAGGGACGAAGCCCUGGGGCGCAAACGGGAUUAGAUACCCCGGUAGUCCAGGGUGUAAACGCUGCGGGCUUGGUGUUGGGGGUCCUUUGUGGGCGCCCAGUGCCGGAGAGAAGUUGUUAAGCCUGCUGCUUGGGGAGUACGUCCGCAAGGAUGAAACUUAAAGGAAUUGGCGGGGGAGCAC